UACAGGGGGUGCAAACGUUGCUCGGAAUCAUUGGGCGUAAAGCGCACGUAGGCGGUUCGUUAUGUCGGAUGUGAAAGCCCUUGGCUUAACCGAGGAAGUGCAUCCGAAACUGGCGAGCUAGAGUACUAAAGAGGAUCGCGGAAUUCCCCGUGUAGAGGUGAAAUUCGUAGAUAUCGGGAGGAACACCGGUGGCGAAGGCGGCGAUCUGGGUAGAUACUGACGCUGAGGUGCGAAAGCGUGGGGAGCAAACAGG
rnacentral:rRNA from 1 species